AGCGGGGUAGAGCAGUCUGGAGUGCUCGUCGAAAUCUCUUAAGGCAGUAAAAUGCUUGGAGUUGCGAAAGGCCCAUAACCCGGAGGUCGCAGUGUUCAAAUCCUGCCCCCGCUA
rnacentral:tRNA from 1 species